rnacentral:rRNA from 1 species
UCCGUCGUGGGCGUAGGAAAUUUGAGAGGAGCUGUCCUUAGUACGAGAGGACCGGGAUGGACGCACCGCUGGUGUACCAGUUGUUCUGCCAAGGGCAUAGCUGGGUAGCUAUGUGCGGAAGGGAUAAGUGCUGAAAGCAUCUAAGCAUGAAGCCCCCCUCAAGAUGAGAUUUCCCAUAGCGUAAGCUAGUAAGAUCCCUGAAAGAUGAUCAGGUUGAUAGGUUCGAGGUGGAAGCAUGGUGACAUGUGGAGCUGACGAAUACUAAUAGAUCGAGGACUUAACCAUAUAA